rnacentral:rRNA from 1 species
ACCCGCGGAUGCGUGACUCAUGUGCAAUCUUCCUUUCGGUAGUGAUAGACCCGUUCAUUUGGAUUAAUACCUCAUACUAUAUUGCUCUCGCAUGAAAUUAUUAACCAUCAUUUCUCGCUCAAACAUAAGAAUGCAUCCCAUAAUUUAUUUGUGGAGGUGACGGCUUACCACGACUACAAUGGGUAGGGGUCCUGAAGGGAUAUCCCCCACACUGGUACUGUGACACGGACCACACUCCUACGGGAGGGCCAGUGGGAAUAUAUUGACAAUGGGGCAAACCUGAUCCACCCAUGCCGCGUGUGUGAUGACGGUCCUAUGGAUUGUAAACUGCUUUUAUUUGGGAGGAACGCUGGUUCCUGAACCAGCUUGACGGUGACGUUGAAUAAGGAUCGGCUAACUCCGUGCCUGU